rnacentral:lncRNA from 1 species
CGAAUGCACAUCAAGAAAUCAAAAUAGAAUAGAGUUUUCAAAGGUUGAAUCCUUGCAAUUUCCUCUUUGUUUUCUCUUACUUAUUUGUUUUAUCUUAUUUUAUUUUAUAUUUUUUUUCUUUUGCAAAUCUAUUUCAAAUAACUAAAAAUCAAAAAGCAAAAAUAAAGGGGAGGGGAACUCACCGGGUGGCCGUGGUUGCGCCGUCAGAGGAUCUCUCCUCCGUCGCCCGAAUCGGGUCCAAGAGGUCGUG